rnacentral:rRNA from 1 species
CCUACGGGAGACAGCAGUGAGGAAUAUUGGUCAAUGGCCGCAGGGCUGAACCAGCCAAGUCGCGUGAGGGAUGACGGUCCUAUGGAUUGUAAACCUCUUUUGUCAGGGAGCAAAGGGCGCCACGUGUGGCGCUUUGCGAGUACCUGAAGAAAAAGCAUCGGCUAACUCCGUGCCAGCAGCCGCGGUAAUACGGAGGAUGCGAGCGUUAUCCGGAUUUAUUGGGUUUAAAGGGUGCGCAGGCGGAAUGUCAAGUCAGCGGUAAAAUUUCGGGGCUCGACCCCGUCGUGCCGUUGAAACUGGCGUUCUUGAGUGAGCGAGAAGUAUGCGGAAUGCGUGGUGUAGCGGUGAAAUGCAUAGAUAUCACGCAGAACUCCGAUUGCGAAGGCAGCAUACCGGCGCUCAACUGACGCUCAUGCACGAAAGCGUGGGUAUCGAACAGGAUUAGAUACCCCGGUAGUC